rnacentral:rRNA from 1 species
UACAGAGGUCCCAAGCGUUGUUCGGAUUCAUUGGGCGUAAAGGGUGCGUAGGCGGCGCGGUAAGUCGGGUGUGAAAUCUCGGAGCUUAACUCCGAAACUGCAUUCGAUACUGCCGUGCUUGAGGACUGGAGAGGAGACUGGAAUUUACGGUGUAGCGGUGAAAUGCGUAGAUAUCGUAAGGAAGACCAGUGGCGAAGGCGGGUCUCUGGACAGUUCCUGACGCUGAGGCACGAAGCCCAGGGGAGCAAACGGG